UCCCAAAUCAGUAGUUAAUUCAUCGCCCAUAAUAUUUUGAGCAUUCAGAAACACACAAAGGGAAGUGCACUAGCAACUUCCUAACAACAAUGGCUACCAAGAUAUUAGCCCUCCUUGCGCUCCUUUCCCUUUUAGUGAGCGCAACAACUGCAUUCAUUAUUCCACAAUGCUCACUUGCUCCUAAUGCCAUUAUUCCAUAGUUCCUCCCAUCAAUUACAUCAAUGGGCAUCGAACACCCUGUUGUGCAAGCCUAUAGGCUACAACAAGCGCUUGCGGCGAACGUCUUACAACAACCGUUUGCCCAAUUACAACAACAAUCCUUGGCACAUCUAACCAUACAAAACAUCGCAAUGCAACAACAACAACAUUUUGUGCCAGCACUGAGCCAACUAGCCACGGUGAACCCUGCCGCCUACUUGCAACAGCAACUGCUUGCAUCCAACCCACUUGCUCUGGCAAACAUAGCUGCUUACCAGCAACAACUACAGUUGCAACAGUUUCUGCCAGCUCUCAGUCAACUAGCCAUGGUGAACCCUGCCACAUACCUGCAACAGCAACAACUGCUUUCAUCUAGCCCACUCGCUGUGGGCAAUGUGGCUACAUACCUGCAACAACAGCUGCUACAACAGAUCGUACCAGCUCUCAGUCAGCUAGCUGUGGCGAACCCUGCUGCCUACUUGCAGUAGCUUCUUCCAUUCAACCAACUAGCUGUGGAAAACACUGCUGUAUACCUGCAACAACGACAACAACUACUUAGUCCACUAGUAGUGGCUAACCCAUUGGUCGCAGCCUUCCUGCAACAACAACAAUUUCUGCCAUAAAACCAGAUCUCUUUGAUGAACCCUGCCUUGUCAUGGCAUCAACCGAUCGUUGGAGGUGCCAUCUUUUAGAUUACAAAUGAGAUGUACUUGAUAACAUUGCCCUCAUACCGGCAUGUGCAACUUCCUAUAAAUAAUCAAUAUAUUGAUUGAGAUUUAUCUUGAUCUUUUCUUAACUAUGUUCAUCAUUUA